rnacentral:rRNA from 1 species
GACUCUGGAAAACAAAUAUCUCGGCUCUCACAUCGAUGAAGAAGGUAGCGAAAUUUGAUGCUUUGUGUGAAUUGCAAAAUCCCGUGAACCAUCGAGUAUUUGAACGGAAGUUGCGGCCGAAGCCAUUUGGCCGAGGGCACGUCUGCCUAGGCGUCA